rnacentral:rRNA from 1 species
UUCCGGUUGAUCCUGCCGGACCUGACUGCUAUUGGAGUAGGACUAAGUCACGCUAGUCAAAGGUGCGGAAUGGAGCACCUGGCGUACGGCUCAGUAACACGUAGUCAACCUACCCUAAGGACGAGGACAACCACGGGAAACUGUGGAUAAUACUCGAUAAGAAAUUUGGCCUGGAACGGUAUCUUUCACAAAACCGGCUCGCCGUGAGACACGGGCCUUAGGAUGGGGCUGCGGCUGAUUAUGCUAGAUGGCGGUGUAAAGGACCACCAUGGCUACGAUCAGUAUGGGCGAUGGAAGUCGGAGCCCAGAGUCGGCUACUGAGACAAGGAGCCGAGCUUUACGAAGCUUAGCGGUCGCGAAAACUCGCCAAUGCACGAAAGUGUGAGUGGGCUACUCCAAGUGUCAUUCUUACGGAUGACUGUCGCACAGUCUUACCAGCUGUGAAAGGAAGGAGAGGGCAAGGCUGGUGCCAGCCGCCGCGGUAAAACCAGCUCUUCGAGUGGUCAGGACGAAUAUUGGGUCUAAAGCGCUCGUAGCCGGACAAGUAGGUUCUUGGUUAAAUCCGACAGCAUAACUGUUGGUCUGCUGGGAAUACCGCUAGUCUUGGGAGCGGGAGAGGACAGAGGUAGUCAUAGGGCAGGGGUGAAAUCCAGUGAUCCUAUGGCGACCACCGAUGGCGAAGGCAUCUGUCUGGAACGUAUCCGACGGUGAGGGGCGAAAGCUAGGGGAGCGACCCGGAUUAGAUACCCGGUUAGUCCUAGCCGUAAACGAUGCGGACUAGGUGUUACAGCGGCCAAGAGCCACUGUAGUGCCACAGUGAAGACGUUAAGUCCGCCACCUGGGGAGUACGGAUGCAAGUCUGAAACUUAAAGGAAUUGACGGGGGCGCACCACCAGGAGUGAAGCCUGCGGUUUAAUUGGAUUCAACGCCGGG